CGGAGGAGAGGCGUGGAUUCGCGCAGACAGCCCCUUGCGUCUCCCAUUUUUUUGUUUUUUUUACGCAUUUAAACCCUCAUUUCGCGUUGGCAGCCUUUGUUUUCGCGUGUCAACUCGCAGCUUUCACGUAAAUGGGGAAGAGUGUCGCGAGGAGACAAUGCGUACCCGCGCGUGUAGCUAAUUUGACAAUGGUUAGCUUGUGCGUAACGCGAUGUGCGGCACCGCCGAGUCCGUGAACGGCGCGUUUUUGUGCGUUAUGGACGGUCUGCCUUCGAGAUAGCGUGGGAAUCUGAUCGUAAACAUGCUUCGUGCGCGGUUUUCCCCGGAUCAAGACGCGCGUAAAGACUGAUUUUUUCGCGUUUUGGACAUGCGGGAGUAUAAAGUGGUGGUUCUGGGGAGCGGCGGAGUUGGAAAAUCGGCGCUGACGGUUCAGUUCGUCACCGGGACUUUCAUAGAGAAGUACGACCCGACGAUAGAGGAUUUUUACCGGAAGGAGAUCGAGGUGGACUCGUCCCCGUCGGUGCUGGAGAUCCUGGACACGGCGGGCACGGAGCAGUUCGCGUCCAUGCGGGAUUUGUACAUCAGGAACGGCCAAGGGUUCAUCCUGGUCUACAGCCUCGUGAAUCAGCAAAGUUUUCAAGACAUCAAACCCAUGAGAGACCAGAUCAUACGAGUCAAAAGGUAUCAGCAGGUGCCCGUGGUCCUGGUGGGGAACAAAGUGGACCUGGAGGACGAGCGGGAGGUGUCCCUGGGCGAGGGGCAGGCCCUGGCCGAGGACUGGGGCUGUCCCUUCAUGGAGACGUCGGCCAAGAGCAAAACGAUGGUGGACGAGCUGUUCGCCGAGAUCGUGCGACAGAUGGACUUCUGCCCCCUGCCUGACCGGAGGAGAGUCUGCUGUCCCAAGUGCAGCCUGCAGUAGCAACAGGAAACUCAACGACGGUGCUUCAAAACGUCACACAGACGAGAAAGAAAAACUCGAUUCAGAUUAGGAAAGGAGCGGUUUACACUGAGGAGUAAAACGGACCAAACCCAGGGCCAAAUCUGGACUAAAUCUAGGUCUAAACAAGGUCUAAACAAGGUCUAAACCAGGAUUAAAGCCAGGACUAAACCAGGCCAUAAACUUGGAAGAAAUCAGGACUAAACGUGGAUUAAACCCCGGUCUCUACCAGGACUAAACCAGGACUAAAUGUGAACUAAAACCAGGACUAAACCAGGACUAAAUGUGAACUAAAACUAGGACUAAACCAGGACUAAAUGUGAACUAAACCCAGGACUAAACCAGGACUAAAUGUGAACUAAAACCAGGACUUAAACCAAGGACUAAAUGUGAACUAAACCCAGGACUAAACCAGGACUAAAUGUGAACUAAAACUAGGACUAAACCAGGACUAAAUGUGAACUAAAACCAGGACUAAACCAGGACUAAAUGUGAACUAAAACCAGGACUAAACCAGGACUAAAUGUGAACUAAACCCAGGACUAAACCAGGACUAAAUGUGAACUAAACCAGGAAUAAACCUAGGUCUAAACCAGGACUAAACCAGGACCAAACGUGAUCUAAACCCAGAACUAAUCCAGGACUAAACCAGGACCAAAGGGGAACUAAACCCAGGACUAAAUCAGGUCUAAUCCAGGACUAAAUAUGAACUAAACCAGAACUAAACCCGGGACUAAACCAGGACUAAUCCCAGGACUACAAUGUGAAAUAAACCCAAGUCUCUACCAGGACUAAACCAGAACUAAACCAGGACUAAACAUGAACUAAACCCAGAACUAAACCAGGACUAAACCAGGUCUAAACUAGAGCUUAACUAUACAAUAAAACAAAACAAAAUCAGGACAAAGGUUGGACUAAACCGGGACUAAAUCAGGACUAAAACCAGGACUAAAUGAGGUCUUAAUGAACAAGGUCUAAACCAGGACUAAAUGUGAACUAAACCCAGGACUAAAUCAGGACUAAACCAGGACUAAAUGAGGUCUUAAUGAACAAGGUCUAAACCAGGACUACAUGUGGACUAAACCCAGGACUAAACCAGGUCUAAACCAGGUCUAAACUUGGGCUAAACUAUGGAAAAAGUUUGAAGUAAAGAAGAAAUACACCACGACUAAUCCAGGACUAAAACAGGACUAAACCAGGUCUUUAACGAACCAGAUCGAAACCAGAACUAAACCACGACUAGACCAGGACUAAACCAGGACUAAAUUAUUUGCACUUAUUUAAAAAAAGCCGCUGGGUUCGUCUCAUUCUCAGUGUAAACUCGCUCUCUGAUUGAAUCUCUACCUGAUUUCUUGACUAUUGCAUUCUGGGAAAUGUAGGCAAAAGACACACGUAGCCAAAAUUCAGGUUUAAAGACAAUUUCACAACUUUCUGCUGGACUUUUUUUUUUUUUUAAUUUUUACAAUAACUUUCGUCUCAUUCUUCAUUGUCUUCCUUUAUUUAAUUAACGCGAUUCCCAGAAGAGAGAAACGGUGCCAAAAUCCUCCAUCUGAAUCAUCGGAGCGAGGAGGAAUCUGCGGAGAGGUUUGGGAACGUUGCCAUGGAGAUAAUGCAAUUCAGCAACUUCGUCUGCAUCUACAGCGCAAUGCCGUGCAAAAGUUUUGGGGUCUAAAUCAGGACUAAACCAGGUCUAAACCAAGACUGAACCAGGUCUAAACCAAGACUAAACCAGGAUUUAAAAAGGACAAAAAUAGGACUUAAACAGGUCUAAACCAGGAUUUAAAAAGGUCUAAACCAGGAUUUAAAAAGGUCUAAACCAGGACUUAAACAGGUCUAAACCAGGUCUAAACCAGGACUUAAAAAGGUUGAAAACCAGGUCUAAACCAGGUCUAAACCAGGACUUAAACAGGUCUAAACCAGGAUUUAAAAAGGUUUAAACCAGGACUAAACCAGGUCUAAACCAGGACUUAAAAAGGUCUAAACCAGGAUUUAAAUAGGUCUAAACAAGGUCUAAACCAGGACUAAACCAGGACUUAAACAGGUCCAAACCAGGCCUAAACCAGGAUUUCAAAAGGUCUAGACCAGGUCUAUAUCAAGACUAAACCUGGUCAAAACGAGGACUAAACCAGGUACUAAAUAAGGAUUAAACCAGGUCUAAACCAGGACUUAAAAAGGUCUAAACCAGGUCUUAACCAGGUCUAAACCAGGUCUAAACCAGGUCUAAACAAGGUCUAAACCAGGUCUUAAAAAGGUCUAAACAAGGUCUAAACCAGGUCUUAAAAAGGUCUAAACAAGGUCUAAACCAGGUCUAAACCAGGUCUUAUCCAGGAGUAGAUAUAUAUAGUUAGAAAAUGGGUUAAACCACAAAGCAAAAAGCACUAAUUUUGGGUCUAAACCAGGUCUAGCCUCGGUCUAAACCAGGACUAAACCAAACCAAAGAACUUGAUCAAAUCAGGUAUAAACCAGGACUAACAAUGCAAACGGUACUCGGUCUUGAACUUGAACUAAAUUAAAACGCUUGGUCUUAAACAAGGUCUAGAGGGGGACUUAAACCGGGUCUAAAGGAGGACUCGGACCAGACCAGAGUCCACGAGUCAAACGUUUCUAAAACUUUUGCACUUUACAGAAUAUUUUGAUUUGUACAUGAGUCUGAACAGCUGUGGUCUCACUGUGAACACAUCCGCCUGUAGAAAGAGAACGACCGAUUUUAACGAAUGAAUGUCGACGUUUAAACAAAUCGCACCUUUUUGACGUGAGGACCCCGAAAAAUGUUUUAAAAACUGUCCAAAAAUGCUUGUAAAAUUGUGGAUUAAAUGUGCAUGACAAAUAAAAACCUGCACUGACUUGAGUACAAUCACAAAACGAAAACAAAAAAAACACGGGCGAGAUUCUGUUUGAAGUGACUGGACUGGUCUUUAAAGCUGCAUUGCGUAACUUUUUCCCCGGUCCAGAGUCUGCCGGCUGCUUGUCUCCAUGGAGAUGUCGAGUGCUUUGCCUGGAAUGUCCCGCGGUGUAGCUUUUAAAUGUCGAUUUCACCCGUUUCUGUCGCUCGAAAAUACCUUGAAAAUGCACGUGUUCUUACUGUGAGCGGCGUCGCCUCUCCGCAGAUCUGACCCGUAACUCGGUAGCUUAGUGGCGUCGAAUCCUCGUCUCCAUGGCGAUAGAUAAGUUUAAUGAACAAUUUUCUUCGUUAUUUGUUUCCAAAACCAAAAAAAAAAAAAAAAAAAA